CGGACGGGUGAGUAAUGCGUAGGGAUUUAUCGUUGGGUGGGGGAUAACCUUGGGAAACUGGGGCUAAGACCGCAUGACGCCUUUGGGCCAAAGCAGUGAUGCGCCUGACGAGGAGCCUGCGUCCGAUUAGCUAGUUGGUUGGGUAAGAGCUGACCAAGGCUUCGAUCGGUAGCUGGUCUGAGAGGAUGAUCAGCCACACUGGGACUGAGACACGGCCCAG
rnacentral:rRNA from 1 species